rnacentral:lncRNA from 13 species
GUCUGGGGUUUUCUUCCCGGGCAGGUUGUGUGCUCAGGGCCCCAGGGGAAUCUGGGAUAAGACGCUGGGGGCGCUGCCGUGGGAAAGGCCAAGGGACACCGUCUGGACGGGUUCCCCGAGACCACGUGCUCUAAGCCCCGAAUCUGAUCCCAGGCAGGGUGCCCUGCCUCUCCCAGCUCCGUCUCUGCUCCCCAGCGGACCCGCUGUCUCCAGCAGACCUGGAGAAUCAGGUGGGGAAGGCAGUCUUCAGAGCAUUCACUCUGCCAUUCUCUGUGUCCGUCAUAGCAAUUUCUUCUCCAUGUUCAUGGAACACCUGUGGGCAGCACAGUUCCAGGCACUGGUUCUUUCAUUCCAUCAACACUGUUGGGGAGGCUACUUGGACCAGGCACUGUUCUAGGCAUUAUGGACAGAUCAUGAGUGAAAUGAAAGGAGUCCCAGACCCAGCUGGGUGGAGGUGA